rnacentral:rRNA from 1 species
GAUGAACGCUGGCGGCGUGCCUAAUACAUGCAAGUCGAGCGAACGGACGAGAAGCUUGCUUUUCUGGUGUUAGCGGCGGACGGGUGAGUAACACGUGGAUAACCUACCUAUAAGACUGGGAUAACUUCGGGAAACCGGAGCUAAUACCGGAUAAUAUUUUGAACCGCAUGGUUCAAAAGUGAAAGACGGUCUUGCUGUCACUUAUAGAUGGAUCCGCGCUGCAUUAGCUAGUUGGUAAGGUAACGGCUUACCAAGGCAACGAUGCAUAGCCGACCUGAGACGGUGAUCGGCCACACUGGAACUGAGACACGGUCCAGACUCCUACGGGAGGCAGCAGUAGGGAAUCUUCCGCAAUGGGCGAAAGCCUGACGGAGCAACGCCGCGUGAGUGAUGAAGGUCUUCGGAUCGUAAAACUCUGUUAUUAGGGAAGAACAUAUGUGUAAGUAACUGUGCACAUCUUGACGGUACCUAAUCAGAAAGCCACGGCUAACUACGUG